rnacentral:rRNA from 1 species
CCUUAGAGUUUGAUCCUGGCUCAGAGCGAACGCUGGCGGCAGGCUUAACACAUGCAAGUCGAGCGGGCGUAGCAAUACGUCAGCGGCAGACGGGUGAGUAACGCGUGGGAACGUACCUUUUGGUUCGGAACAACACAGGGAAACUUGUGCUAAUACCAGAUAAGCCCUUACGGGGAAAGAUUUAUCGCCGAAAGAUCGGCCCGCGUCUGAUUAGCUAGUUGGUAAGGUAACGGCUCACCAAGGCGACGAUCAGUAGCUGGUCUGAGAGGAUGAUCAGCCACAUUGGGACUGAGACACGGCCCAAACUCCUACGGGAGGCAGCAGUGGGGAAUAUUGGACAAUGGGGGCAACCCUGAUCCAGCCAUGCCGCGUGAGUGAUGAAGGCCCUAGGGUUGUAAAGCUCUUUUGUGCGGGAAGAUAAUGACGGUACCGCAAGAAUAAGCCCCGGCUAACUUCGUGCCAGCAGCCGCGGUAAUACGAAGGGGGCUAGCGUUGCUCGGAAUCACUGGGCGUAAAGGGUGCGUAGGCGGAUCUUUAAGUCAGAGGUGAAAGCCUGGAGCUCAACUCCAGAACUGCCUUUGAUACUGGGGAUCUUGAGUUCGGGAGAGGUGAGUGGAACUGCGAGUGUAGAGGUGAAAUUCGUAGAUAUUCGCAAGAACACCAGUGGCGAAGGCGGCUCACUGGCCCGAUACUGACGCUGAGGCACGAAAGCGUGGGGAGCAAACAGGAUUAGAUACCCUGGUAGUCCACGCCGUAAA